rnacentral:tRNA from 1 species
UUUUCCUUAGGUGUUUUGCACGAAAAGAUUUGAGCUUUUAAGAGGUUUUUCCAAGGAAAAA